rnacentral:rRNA from 1 species
GGUCCUCGGAAGAGGAUCUAUGUUUUUUUCACAUCACACACCGUCGUAUGUCUAUAGAAUGUAUUGAAGACUGUCCUAUGAUGGUCGAUAAUAAAUCAUACAACUUUCAGCAACGGAUCUCUUGGCUCUCGCAUCUAAGAAGAACGCAGCGAAUUGCGAUAAGUAAUGUGAAUUGCAGAUUUUCAGUGAAUCAUCGAAUCUUUGAACGCACCUUGCGCUCCUUGGUAUUCCGAGGAGCAUGCCUGUUUGAGUGUCAUUU